GUGACCUCAAAUCAGGUARGACUACCCGCUGAACUUAAGCAUAUCAAUAAGCGGA
rnacentral:rRNA from 1 species